UGCAGUCGACGAUGAACCUCACUUGUGGGGGGAUUAGUGGCGAACGGGUGAGUAACACGUGAGUAACCUGCCCUUGACUCUGGGAUAAGCCUGGGAAACCGGGUCUAAUACUGGAUAUGACCUUCUGGCGCAUGCCAUGUUGGUGGAAAGCUUUAUUGCGGUUUUGGAUGGACUCGCGGCCUAUCAGCUUGUUGGUGGGGUAAUGGCCUACCAAGGCGACGACGGGUAGCCGGCCUGAGAGGGUGGACGGCCACACUGGGACUGAGACACGGCCCAGACUCCUACGGGAGGCAGCAGUGGGGAAUAUUGCACNAUGGGCGCAAGCCUGAUGCAGCGACGCCGCGUGGGGGAUGAAGGCCUUCGGGUUGUAAACCUCUUUCAGUAGGGAAGAAGCGAAAGUGACGGUACCUGCAGAAGAAGCGCCGGCUAACUACGUGCCAGCAGCCGCGGUAAUACGUAGGGCGCAAGCGUUAUCCGGAAUUAUUGGGCGUAAAGAGCUCGUAGGCGGUUUGUCGCGUCUGCCGUGAAAGUCCGGGGCUUAACUCCGGAUCUGCGGUGGGUACGGGCAGACUAGAGUGAUGUAGGGGAGACUGGAAUUCCUGGUGUAGCGGUGAAAUGCGCAGAUAUCAGGAGGAACACCGANGGCGAAGGCAGGUCUCUGGCAUUAACUGACNCUGAGGAGCGAAAGCAUGGGGAGCGAACAGGAUUAGAUACCCUGNUAGUCCAUGCCGUAACGUUGGCACUAGG
rnacentral:rRNA from 1 species